GUGCUUGCUUUGGCAGCACAUAUAAAUACAGAGAAGAUUAGCACGGCCCCUGUGCAAGGAUGCCACGAACAUUCAUGAAGCGUUCCAUAUAUUU
ensembl:snRNA U6 U6 spliceosomal RNA